GGUUCAAGUCCCUCUAUCCCCAAAAAAAG
rnacentral:tRNA from 1 species